CCUACGGGAGGCAGCAGUGGGGAAUAUUGGGCAAUGGAGGCAACUCUGACCCAGCAAUGCCGCGUGAGUGAUGAAGGUAAUUUUAUUGUAAAGCUCUUUUCUUUGGAACGAAUAAAUGACGGUACCAAAGGAAUAAGCCCCGGCUAACUACGUGCCAGCAGCCGCGGUAAUACGUAGGGGGCAAGCGUUGUUCGGAAUGACUGGGCGUAAAGGGAGUGUAGGUGGUUUGAUAAGUUAGAUGUGUAAUACCCAGGGCUUAACUCGGGUGCUGCAUCUAAAACUGUUAGAAUUGAGUACUGGGGGGGAUAGUGGAAUUCCUAGUGUAGCGGUGGAAUGCGUAGAUAUUAGGAGGAACAUCAGGGGCGAAGGCGACUUACUGGACUGUAACUGACACUGAGGCACGAAAGCGUGGGGAGCAAACAGGAUUAGAUACCCUAGUAGUC
rnacentral:rRNA from 1 species